ACCAUUCCCGUCUGACCUAACCCCCCUUUUUUAUAUUUUUCUUCGAAAGACAAUUGGUUUCCAUGAUCAUUGCCGCUUUUGAAUUUUUUUUAUAUGUUUUCCUGAUUUUCAUACAAUUUUUUGAAAACUCGAAAAAUCUCUCCAAUUUGAUAUAAAAAUCGCCGUGCGAAGUAGUGUGCCCACCCCUUGUCUGUGGAGAGGGUUUUAAGUGUGGAGAUUAGGUUCCAACCCUGUCGUCAAACUGACAUGCUUGUUGACAUGUUUACAUUUUGAAAUGUCAUACCCGUUCGCUACUUGCCUUCGGAUUAGAAACCAGUUUGGAAUUAUUUUUUAUCCGUGAUUCCGGCAAGGAAUUCCGGUGCAUUCCUUAUUCCAAUAAAAAGUUCAAGCACGACAGCCGAUUCCGUUCACCCUCGUUGGUUUUACCGCUUCUAAUCUGUACACGGACUCCCGCCAAUCACACCCAAAAACGGUGAUUGCUCAUCAAACAAGCACACCACGGCGCAGCCAAAACAUUGCAGCUUUCCACCGGACAAGACCUGAAUCUUCCUAUCUCGAAUGUUGUAGAUCCAGAUCGGUUCUGAUAUGGAACUGAGACCAAGGUGUUCCCCCUGCAGAAACCGAGGGAUACCGGUAGCAGCAGAAACGAGCACAGCAAUAGCCGGAAUGGAAAUCUAUUGAGAAUGAAAAACCGAUUGCAACAAUUUGGCGAAUCGGAACUGGUGAAUGCCGAACGGCAGCAGCAGCGAAAAAAGGUACGAUCCCGAGGACGAUGAUUGAUAAGAAGCAGAGAACAUGGGUCAUGCUUCCCGAGGAAAAAGAAGCGAAUGGAAGUGGAACUUAAUAUCACCGAGGUCGAUUUUAAUGACGAUCUGAAUGCAGUAUCCGGUCCCAGUGGUCUCAGUAUCUCGGUCAUGGAUCGUCGCAGUUCCGUUCCGGCAGGGUAGCGUCAGGUGUACAACUUCCCCAACACAUUCCACGCGUUUCGUUUUGUACGAUUGUGUGUAAGAAUCAAACUUUUGCUUUCAAAAAUUAUUGUUGAAAACAGUUGUAAAUUAUAUACCAACCAACAUAUCAAAAGAUCAUAUUUGAAUAGAAAAUUCAAUUUGUGCUUUCUAAUUGCA